UAUGCGCUCGAACUCGGUAAUGCUCACAUCAUGGGCGAGAGUGGAUCCGGAUGGCCCGGAACAGGUUGCCUCGUCAGUGGGGUGGCAGUGGGCGGCAGGCGGUGGGUGGCUGUCAGUGGGUGGCUUUGGGUGAACCCCGAGCAAGUCACAGUGUGUUUUUUCGGCCUUAAAAGUGCGUGCCCCUGAUUGGGCGUAGGGGAUAUCCCCCACUUCCGCCCGGACUUGGAUCCGGAACCGACAUCAACAAAUUCCACACGGCAGCAACAACUCAUGUGCCGGCGUACGCCCGAAACUAUUUCGCCAGUGCCAAAGUUUACUGUCACGUGCUUGUCAACAUCUUGGGCUGUUUUAUAACGCCAUGACCCCCGGGCAACCGUGAAGCUUUACAAGUGACCCCGGCCCUGUGGACUUUGCACCCGUCAGCGUCGUCGUCGAAGACGUCGCCCCAGCACUUCAGGCCCGGCCAACGGCAAUAUGCCUACAAGUCACUACAAACUACUAAAAAAUACAUGUUAAGAGGCACUUUCAGGAUGAUUCCAGGACACAGCCUAGCCGCAUUUCCUACUGGGCACAAAGGACAUCCUCGUCUACAUCAAACGAGAGCGCCCACAAGGGAUACAGUUGUUAACGUGGCCAAGAAGCAGCCCCGUCUAUGGCGACGGCGGUGGCAAAAACACAAACAUGGCAACCGAGUGUCGUGAAGGCUGCGCUAUGGCGGAGGUGGAGGAAGGACGAAGGACCAACAGCGCAGGACGCCAGAAGUUUAAAGGAGCAGUAGCAUGAGCAGGAGCUGGAGCAUGAGCACUUUAUGUGCAUAUAAUGUCCACUCACACAGGGACACUAUUCAAGUGGAGGAGUGUCGUCGGGGAUCUUGCGGGGAAUUGUUAAUAUUGUCUGGGCCUGUAAGCAGCAUUUACAUGCUGGCCGACACCACGUACUACAUACGUCCGGGUUGAUGGACGGUCUCCGGCUCGUCCUGGAUGAUGCAGGCUUUAAGUAGGCUCAUCCCCGUUCCUUUCUUGGCUGCCAGACAUUGUUUUAAAAAUAUGUACAUGCAUGCAUUUUGCAGAUGUUGAAUUAACUGACGAAACCGAAAGCUUUCAUUAAAAGAGUAGGAUGGAUGCUGGACAUGGACAGAGGGAUGUGGAAAAGCCCAAAUGCCGAUGCAUUCUUGAUUCCCAACAUUAAGACAAAAUAAACUUGAUUUUGGUAUAAAAUUGAUUCAUUCAUUUUCGAUCCAUUGAGUAAGAUUCUUAUCCGAUGAGCCGGGCCCAGCAUCAUCACUUACACUUCCAAAGUGUGCACAUCCAACAGAUGGCCCGAAAAGCAAGAUGCCUAGGACGGAGAGUGAAAGGACUAUAAAAUGUACAUUCAAUGCUCAGGGAAUAAACAUGAUAUUAUACUCAACUUCUGAAGGAUGGUUUUUGAUGGAUCUUUAACAAGCACUUCAGGACCUAUUAGAUUGCUUAUUAGACUUUCCCACGAUUAUUGUAAUCUUGAAACUAUUUAAGUUUUCAAAAUAUCACUUACCUCCCAACUAUUUCUCACACUCUUAAGCCUUUGACAAAAAAUAAUACCUCCACUAUCUUAACUAACAAACAAAGAAAUGUAUUUUUUUCAAUAAAGUGGUUGGUUGCCUUAGA